CGGCAGCGCGGGGCAACCUGGCGGCGAGUGGCGAACGGGUGAGUAAUAUAUCGGAACGUACCCAAGAGUGGGGGAUAACGUAGCGAAAGUUACGCUAAUACCGCAUACGAUCCAAGGAUGAAAGCAGGGGACCGCAAGGCCUUGUGCUCCUGGAGCGGCCGAUAUCUGAUUAGCUAGUUGGUAGGGUAAAGGCCUACCAAGGCUUCGAUCAGUAGCUGGUCUGAGAGGACGACCAGCCACACUGGAACUGAGACACGGUCCAGACUCCUACGGGAGGCAGCAGUGGGGAAUUUUGGACAAUGGGCGCAAGCCUGAUCCAGCAAUGCCGCGUGAGUGAAGAAGGCCUUCGGGUUGUAAAGCUCUUUUGUCAGGGAAGAAACGGUGGGGGCUAAUAUCCUUCGCUAAUGACGGUACCUGAAGAAUAAGCACCGGCUAACUACGUGCCAGCAGCCGCGGUAAUACGUAGGGUGCAAGCGUUAAUCGGAAUUACUGGGCGUAAAGCGUGCGCAGGCGGUUUUGUAAGUCUGUCGUGAAAGCCCCGGGCUCAACCUGGGAAUUGCGAUGGAGACUGCAAGGCUUGAAUCUGGCAGAGGGGGGUAGAAUUCCACGUGUAGCAGUGAAAUGCGUAGAGAUGUGGAGGAACACCGAUGGCGAAGGCAGCCCCCUGGGUCAAGAUUGACGCUCAUGCACGAAAGCGUGGGGAGCAAACAGGAUUAGAUACCCUGGUAGUCCACGCCCUAAACGAUGUCUACUAGUUGUCGGGUUUUAAUUAACUUGGUAACGCAGCUAACGCGUGAAGUAGACCGCCUGG
rnacentral:rRNA from 1 species